rnacentral:rRNA from 1 species
AACGAACGCUGGCGGCAUGCCUAACACAUGCAAGUCGAACGAGACCUUCGGGUCUAGUGGCGCACGGGUGCGUAACGCGUGGGAACCUGCCCUUAGGUUCGGAAUAACUCCCCGAAAGGGGUGCUAAUACCGGAUAAUGUCUUCGGACCAAAGAUUUAUCGCCUUUGGAUGGGCCCGCGUUGGAUUAGCUAGUUGGUAGGGUAAAAGCCUACCAAGGCGACGAUCCAUAGCUGGUCUGAGAGGAUGAUCAGCCACACUGGGACUGAGACACGGCCCAGACUCGGCGGGAAGGGGGGGGGGGGGAAAAUUGAAAAAGGGGGGAAAGCCUGACCCAGCAAUGCGGGGGGAGUAAUGCCGGCCUUGGGGUUGAAAAGUUUUUUAAGCGGGGAUGAUAAUGACGGUACCGGGAGAAAAAGCCCCGGCUAACUCCGUG